UGGGGAGUACGGUCGCAAGAUUAAAACUCAAAUGAAUUGACGGGGGCCCGCACAAGCGGUGGAGCAUGUGGUUUAAUUCGAUGCAACGCGAAGAACCUUACCUACUCUUGACAUCCAGAGAACUUUCCAGAGAUGGAUUGGUGCCUUCGGGAACUCUGAGACAGGUGCUGCAUGGCUGUCGUCAGCUCGUGUUGUGAAAUGUUGGGUUAAGUCCCGCAACGAGCGCAACCCUUAUCCUUGUUUGCCAGCACAUAAUGGUGGGAACUCCAGGGAGACUGCCGGUGAUAAACCGGAGGAAGGUGGGGACGACGUCAAGUCAUCAUGGCCCUUACGAGUAGGGCUACACACGUGCUACAAUGGCGUAUACAGAGGGCUGCCAACCAGCGAUGGUGAGCGAAUCCCAGAAAGUACGUCGUAGUCCGGAUUGGAGUCUGCAACUCGACUCCAUGAAGUCGGAAUCGCUAGUAAUCGUGAAUCAGAAUGUCACGGUGAAUACGUUCCCGGGCCUUGUACACACCGCCCGUCACACCAUGGGAGUGGGCUGCACCAGAAGUAGAUAGCUUAACCUUCGGGAGGGCGUUUACCACGGUGUGGUUCAUGACUGGGGUGAAGUCGUAACAAGGUAGCCCUAGGGGAACCUGGGGCUG
rnacentral:ncRNA from 1 species